UUAGGACAAAAAAAGAGAACUUACCUCUAUAAUGCUUCCAGUCUAGCUCUUGCUUUCCUAUUUCAUUUCCUUAUGUUUUUCCUCCUCUUUCUCCCGAUUAUUUUCUAACUCUUCUUAUAUUUUUAGAUCACCUAAAAUUGAUCACAUCGUAACACAAUAACAAAUGUGAGGAUAAGAUUAUGAAGAAAUUAUAUUGUGGUGAAGAAAUUAAUAGAAAUAAUUUUAUAAAAAAACUAUCUUAUUGUUUUCUAUCUAAAUAUUGCAUCGUAAAUAUAAAUCAUAGCAUUAAAGAAAGAUUGAAAGAAAAGUCAAAAGCAUCAAGAAAGAAAAAAAACAUAAAAGCGUCAUAAUCUAUUUUUAAACUUAUGUAAUCAAAUAUUUUAGAGUUUUAACAUUAUUUUUCAUUCUAAAGUAUGUAAUCUUUAAAAGAAUUAU
rnacentral:lncRNA from 1 species